CUUGAAAUACCACCCUUUAAUGUUUGAUGUUCUAACGUUGGCCCGUAAUCCGGGUUGCGGACAGUGUCUGGUGGGUAGUUUGACUGGGGCGGUCUCCUCCUAAAGAGUAACGGAGGAGCACGAAGGUUGGCUAAUCCUGGUCGGACAUCAGGAGGUUAGUGCAAUGGCAUAAGCCAGCUUGACUGCGAGCGUGACGGCGCGAGCAGGUGCGAAAGCAGGUCAUAGUGAUCCGGUGGUUCUGAAUGGAAGGGCCAUCGCUCAACGGAUAAAAGGUACUCCGGGGAUAACAGGCUGAUACCGCCCAAGAGUUCAUAUCGACGGCGGUGUUUGGCACCUCGAUGUCGGCUCAUCACAUCCUGGGGCUGAAGUAGGUCCCAAGGGUAUGGCUGUUCGCCAUUUAAAGUGGUACGCGAGCUGGGUUUAGAACGUCGUGAGACAGUUCGGUCCCUAUCUGCCGUGGGCGCUGGAGAACUGAGGGGGGCUGCUCCUAGUACGAGAGGACCGGAGUGGACGCAUCACUGGUGUUCGGGUUGUCAUGCCAAUGGCACUGCCCGGUAGCUAAAUGCGGAAGAGAUAAGUGCUGAAAGCAUCUAAGCACGAAACUUGCC
rnacentral:rRNA from 1 species